rnacentral:rRNA from 1 species
CAGUCGCCGCGGGAAUACGUAGGUGGCAAGCGUUGUCCGGAAUUAUUGGGCGUAAAGGGCUCGCAGGCGGUUUCUUAAGUCUGAUGUGAAAGCCCCCGGCUCAACCGGGGAGGGUCAUUGGAAACUGGGAAACUUGAGUGCAGAAGAGGAGAGUGGAAUUCCACGUGUAGCGGUGAAAUGCGUAGAUAUUGGGAGGAACACCAGUGGCGAAGGCGGCUUUCUGGUCUGUAACUGACGCUGAGGAGCGAAAGCGUGGGGAGCGAACAGGAUUAGAUACCCCCGUAGUCCCUGUCUCUUAUAC